rnacentral:rRNA from 1 species
UACGUAGGGGGCAAGCGUUGUCCGGAAUCAUUGGGCGUAAAGAGCGCGUAGGCGGCCCAGUAAGUCCGCUCUGAAAGUCAGAGGCUCAACCUCUGAAUGCGGGUGGAUACUGCUGGGCUAGAGUCCGGAAGAGGCGAGUGGAAUUCCCGGUGUAGAGGUGAAAUUCGUAGAUAUCGGGAGGAACACCGGUGGCGAAGGCGGCGACCUGGGCCAAUACUGACGCUCAUGCACGAAAGCGUGGGGAGCAAACAGG